UAGAUUGAAGCCCGCUGGCUUGGGUUUUUAGUUGUUAAUUAAAUUUUUACGGGAUCAAGGCCCGUCGGUCUAG
rnacentral:tRNA from 1 species